UACGGAGGGUGCGAGCGUUGUCCGGAUUUAUUGGGUUUAAAGGGUGCGUAGGCGGCCCGUUAGGUCCGGGUGAAGCCCGCUGCUCAACAGCGGAACUGCCCUGGAUACUGACGGGCUUGAGUACAGACGAGGUUGGCGGAAUGGACUGAGUAGCGGUGAAAUGCAUAGAUACAGUCCAGAACCCCGAUUGCGAAGGCAGCUGACUAGGCUGUUACUGACGCUGAGGCACGAAAGCGUGGGGAGCGAACAGG
rnacentral:rRNA from 1 species